GAGAAGCUCUUUUAGGGUUAACCCAACAAGAGGUGAAGUUGGUAACCUCUUGUUACAGACUACUGGUGUUAAGUCGUGUUUUCUGGAGGCUGAUUGACACUCGUCAUAAAACUCUACUGUUUUCUUGUGAAUUGUCUCUAAUCUUCGUUCGCAAUUCCGACAAAUCACCCCUUUAUCCUUUGAAAUCCCGCCAUAUUUUAAUAACAACUCCUUUAUCGAAAAAUCUAAUAAUUUGGAUGAUAUUUUCUUAGAUUGAUACGGUGGUUUGAACAUACCAG
rnacentral:lncRNA from 1 species